UUGGGCCAGACAUUCCCUACACAGUCAUGUGCAGGUGAACCCAGGGCAGCAAGCAACAGUGUGAUCUUCUACUCACCAAAUCCAGAAGUAAGACCAGGGCAGUCCAGUCAAGGCUGCCCAACACCUGCCAUUUCCAUAUGGUUCACCCCACUGCUGAAUUUCCCACAUGGCUGGACCAGAGACAUGUAUGGGCACUUUGGUUUGGACAAACCACACACCAAAGCAAAUGCAUACUGACAUACAUUUAAUUUGAGCAUGUUCUGAAUGUUGUCUGACACCAUGAAAUACUGUUCUUCCAGGGAGGUCAAGGAAACGGCUGUAGCAAAUGCAAGGAAAGGGCUUCCCAUUGCCCUCCUUAGAGAGAACAGGAGGCACUGAUAACUCCCAGCAACAAGACACUGUCUACAAGGGAUUAUUUCCUCUGUGAUAUCCUAGCACUGCACCACAGAGGUUAACUUCUGAAGCAGUAUAAGAGGAAGUAGUAGCUCUAUCAAUCAAGAUAAGUGGUGUGGGUGUGAAGACAGGCCAACAUCGGGCAG
rnacentral:lncRNA from 1 species